rnacentral:snoRNA from 1 species
UCGUAAAGAUAAUUCACAUGUCAAGGUGAAGGCUAUUUCUGAUGUACUAAGCAGCAUUAGAGUUGACUUAGCAGCACGACUACUCGGCCAUCUGUCAGUCAUCUUCAGACAAAU